rnacentral:rRNA from 1 species
UACGGGGGGGGCUAGCGUUGUUCGGAAUUACUGGGCGUAAAGGGCGCGUAGGCGGUCUGCUAAGUCAGACGUGAAAUCCCUCAGCUCAACUGGGGAACUGCGUCUGAGACUGGUGGGCUUGAGUGCAGGAGAGGAACGCGGAAUUCCAGGUGUAGCGGUGAAAUGCGUAGAUAUCUGGAGGAACACCGGUGGCGAAGGCGGCGUUCUGGACUGUUACUGACACUGAGGAACGAAAGCCAGGGGAGCAAACGGG